UACGGAGGGGACUAGCGUUGUUCGGAAUUACUGGGCGUAAAGCGCACGUAGGCGGAUUUGUAAGUCAGGGGUGAAAUCCCGGGCUCAACCUCGGAACUGCCUUUGAUACUGCAAAUCUCGAGUCCGGAAGAGGUGAGUGGAAUUCCUAGUGUAGAGGUGAAAUUCGUAGAUAUUAGGAAGAACACCAGUGGCGAAGGCGGCUCACUGGUCCGGUACUGACGCUGAGGUGCGAAAGCGUGGGGAGCAAACAGG
rnacentral:rRNA from 1 species